rnacentral:rRNA from 1 species
GAUGAACGCUGGCGGCGUGCUUAACACAUGCAAGUCGAACGAUGAAGCCCAGCUUGCUGGGUGGAUUAGUGGCGAACGGGUGAGUAACACGUGAGUAACCUGCCCUUGACUCUGGGAUAAGCCCGGGAAUCUGGGUCUAAUACCGGAUAGGAGCGCCUGUCGCAUGACGGGUGUUGGAAAGAUUUUUCGGUCAUGGAUGGACUCGCGGCCUAUCAGCUUGUUGGUGAGGUAAUGGCUCACCAAGGCGACGACGGGUAGCCGGCCUGAGAGGGUGACCGGCCACACUGGGACUGAGACACGGCCCAGACUCCUACGGGAGGCAGCAGUGGGGAAUAUUGCACAAUGGGCGGAAGCCUGAUGCAGCGACGCCGCGUGAGGGAUGACGGCCUUCGGGUUGUAAACCUCUUUCAGUAGGGAAGAAGCGAAAGUGACGGUACCUGCAGAAGAAGCACCGGCUAACUACGUG